rnacentral:rRNA from 1 species
GGGUUGUGAGGUUAAGCGACUAAGCGUACACGGUGGAUGCCCUGGCAGUCAGAGGCGAUGAAGGACGUGCUAAUCUGCGAUAAGCGUCGGUAAGGUGAUAUGAACCGUUAUAACCGGCGAUUUCCGAAUGGGGAAACCCAGUGUGUUUCGACACACUAUCAUUAACUGAAUCCAUAGGUUAAUGAGGCGAACCGGGGGAACUGAAACAUCUAAGUACCCCGAGGAAAAGAAAUCAACCGAGAUUCCCCCAGUAGCGGCGAGCGAACGGGGAGCAGCCCAGAGCCUGAAUCAGUGUGUGUGUUAGUGGAAGCGUCUGGAAAGGCGCGCGAUACAGGGUGACAGCCCCGUACACAAAAAUGCACAUGCUGUGAGCUCGAUGAGUAGGGCGGGACACGUGGUAUCCUGUCUGAAUAUGGGGGGACCAUCCUCCAAGGCUAAAUACUCCUGACUGACCGAUAGUGAACCAGUACCGUGAGGGAAAGGCGAAAAGAACCCCGGCGAGGGGAGUGAAAAAGAACCUGAAACCGUGUACGUACAAGCAGUGGGAGCACGCUUAGGCGUGUGACUGCGUACCUUUUGUAUAAUGGGUCAGCGACUUAUAUUCUGUAGCAAGGUUAACCGAAUAGGGGAGCCGAAGGGAAACCGAGUCUUAACUGGGCGUUAAGUUGCAGGGUAUAGACCCGAAACCCGGUGAUCUAGCCAUGGGCAGGUUGAAGGUUGGGUAACACUAACUGGAGGACCGAACCGACUAAUGUUGAAAAAUUAGCGGAUGACUUGUGGCUGGGGGUGAAAGGCCAAUCAAACCGGGAGAUAGCUGGUUCUCCCCGAAAGCUAUUUAGGUAGCGCCUCGUGAAUUCAUCUCCGGGGGUAGAGCACUGUUUCGGCAAGGGGGUCAUCCCGACUUACCAACCCGAUGCAAACUGCGAAUACCGGAGAAUGUUAUCACGGGAGACACACGGCGGGUGCUAACGUCCGUCGUGAAGAGGGAAACAACCCAGACCGCCAGCUAAGGUCCCAAAGUCAUGGUUAAGUGGGAAACGAUGUGGGAAGGCCCAGACAGCCAGGAUGUUGGCUUAGAAGCAGCCAUCAUUUAAAGAAAGCGUAAUAGCUCACUGGUCGAGUCGGCCUGCGCGGAAGAUGUAACGGGGCUAAACCAUGCACCGAAGCUGCGGCAGCGACGCUUAUGCGUUGUUGGGUAGGGGAGCGUUCUGUAAGCCUGUGAAGGUGUGCUGUGAGGCAUGCUGGAGGUAUCAGAAGUGCGAAUGCUGACAUAAGUAACGAUAAAGCGGGUGAAAAGCCCGCUCGCCGGAAGACCAAGGGUUCCUGUCCAACGUUAAUCGGGGCAGGGUGAGUCGACCCCUAAGGCGAGGCCGAAAGGCGUAGUCGAUGGGAAACAGGUUAAUAUUCCUGUACUUGGUGUUACUGCGAAGGGGGGACGGAGAAGGCUAUGUUGGCCGGGCGACGGUUGUCCCGGUUUAAGCGUGUAGGCUGGUUUUCCAGGCAAAUCCGGAAAAUCAAGGCUGAGGCGUGAUGACGAGGCACUACGGUGCUGAAGCAACAAAUGCCCUGCUUCCAGGAAAAGCCUCUAAGCAUCAGGUAACAUCAAAUCGUACCCCAAACCGACACAGGUGGUCAGGUAGAGAAUACCAAGGCGCUUGAGAGAACUCGGGUGAAGGAACUAGGCAAAAUGGUGCCGUAACUUCGGGAGAAGGCACGCUGAUAUGUAGGUGAAGUCCCUUGCGGAUGGAGCUGAAAUCAGUCGAAGAUACCAGCUGGCUGCAACUGUUUAUUAAAAACACAGCACUGUGCAAACACGAAAGUGGACGUAUACGGUGUGACGCCUGCCCGGUGCCGGAAGGUUAAUUGAUGGGGUUAGCGCAAGCGAAGCUCUUGAUCGAAGCCCCGGUAAACGGCGGCCGUAACUAUAACGGUCCUAAGGUAGCGAAAUUCCUUGUCGGGUAAGUUCCGACCUGCACGAAUGGCGUAAUGAUGGCCAGGCUGUCUCCACCCGAGACUCAGUGAAAUUGAACUCGCUGUGAAGAUGCAGUGUACCCGCGGCAAGACGGAAAGACCCCGUGAACCUUUACUAUAGCUUGACACUGAACAUUGAGCCUUGAUGUGUAGGAUAGGUGGGAGGCUUUGAAGUGUGGACGCCAGUCUGCAUGGAGCCGACCUUGAAAUACCACCCUUUAAUGUUUGAUGUUCUAACGUUGACCCGUAAUCCGGGUUGCGGACAGUGUCUGGUGGGUAGUUUGACUGGGGCGGUCUCCUCCUAAAGAGUAACGGAGGAGCACGAAGGUUGGCUAAUCCUGGUCGGACAUCAGGAGGUUAGUGCAAUGGCAUAAGCCAGCUUGACUGCGAGCGUGACGGCGCGAGCAGGUGCGAAAGCAGGUCAUAGUGAUCCGGUGGUUCUGAAUGGAAGGGCCAUCGCUCAACGGAUAAAAGGUACUCCGGGGAUAACAGGCUGAUACCGCCCAAGAGUUCAUAUCGACGGCGGUGUUUGGCACCUCGAUGUCGGCUCAUCACAUCCUGGGGCUGAAGUAGGUCCCAAGGGUAUGGCUGUUCGCCAUUUAAAGUGGUACGCGAGCUGGGUUUAGAACGUCGUGAGACAGUUCGGUCCCUAUCUGCCGUGGGCGCUGGAGAACUGAGGGGGGCUGCUCCUAGUACGAGAGGACCGGAGUGGACGCAUCACUGGUGUUCGGGUUGUCAUGCCAAUGGCACUGCCCGGUAGCUAAAUGCGGAAGAGAUAAGUGCUGAAAGCAUCUAAGCACGAAACUUGCCCCGAGAUGAGUUCUCCCUGACUCCUUGAGAGUCCUGAAGGAACGUUGAAGACGACGACGUUGAUAGGCCGGGUGUGUAAGCGCAGCGAUGCGUUGAGCUAACCGGUACUAAUGAACCGUGAGGCUUAACCUUACAACGCCGAAG